AGAUAGAGCAAAACAUGGGAAAGUUGCUUUUAACACAAUCUUUAGUUACUUCUACUAGAGCUUAGAAAACUGCCUUUUCCCCCUGCGGCUCUCAGAAUUCCCCUGUAGUCUCAUUGGCCAUACUAGCUGGGCAAUUCUGGGUUUUAUAUAAGCCUGAAAGGUAACUUUUCUAGGUUCUGGACUAGAUGUUAUGGUGUCAUAAACUAGAAGAGAAGCUGUGCUGACAAUGAGAAACAUUAACUGAUCCCAAUUGCACUUUCUGUGUCAACAUGUCUGAUGUAUGAAUGUAUGACCUCUACUCCACAGGCUGAGGUACAUGAUCAUACUCACUUUGAAGCUCUGUGAUUUCCAUCAUCCUCACUAUUGCAGGCCCCAAAGGGAAGUAGAUGGGAGAGUGUCACGACACUGAGGGCUGAGGUGGAUGCUGACACUUCCACAUAUUUUCCAACUGGUGAACCUUGGAAAGGCCUUUUGCCCUUUCUGCGUCACCCUGGAAAUUAUUAACUUGCCUAUAGUAAAGACCUCUCUUAAGGUGAACUGGGCUGUCACUGGAGUCUCCGAGAGAGGUUGCGUUCUUUCAGUCAUGCAAAUUUGCACUUCUCUUCUUGUGGAUCUGCAAAAGGGAGCUCAGGCCAGUAUCCGAUCUCCAGUCUCUUAGGGCCAAGCUAGACCAGAUGAUGACAGAACUUGAAAUGUGGAACUGCUCAAGUCAUGUCCACACUGAGGAAGGAAUCCAGCUUAAAGCAUUAAAUCAGAGAUUCAGCUGAUCUGGAGGUUCAAUUCUCUCACCUGAAUGUCCAAGUUCAGCUGUUCCCACAGGUCAUCAUGCAAGGCUGACACCUCGCCCUCCAGGUUCUCAUAUUCUAUGGUGCUGUUGGCCAGUGCCU